rnacentral:rRNA from 1 species
AGCGAACGCUGGCGGCAGGCCUAACACAUGCAAGUCGAACGAACUCUUCGGAGUUAGUGGCGGACGGGUGAGUAACACGUGGGAACGUGCCUUUAGGUGCGGAAUAACUCAGGGAAACUUGUGCUAAUACCGAACGUGCCCUUCGGGGGAAAGAUUUAUCGCCUUUAGAGCGGCCCGCGUCUGAUUAGCUUGUUGGUGGGGUAAUGGCCCACCAAGGCGACGAUCAGUAGCUGGUCUGAGAGGAUGACCAGCCACAUUGGGACUGAGACGCGGCCCAAACUCCUACGGGAGGCAGCAGUGGGGAAUCUUGCGCAAUGGGCGAAAGCCUGACGCAGCCAUGCCGCGUGGAUGAUGAAGGUCUUAGGAUUGUAAAAUCCUUUCACCGGUGAAGAUAAUGACUGUAGCCGGAGAAGAAGCCCCGGCUAACUUCGUGCCAGCCGCCGCAGUAA